AUUGAACGCUGGCGGCAGGCCUAACACAUGCAAGUCGAGCGGAUGAAGGGAGCUUGCUCCUGGAUUCAGCGGCGGACGGGUGAGUAAUGCCUAGGAAUCUGCCUGGUAGUGGGGGAUAACGUCCGGAAACGGGCGCUAAUACCGCAUACGUCCUGCGGGAGCAAGUGGGGGAUCUUCGGACCUCACGCUAUCAGAUGAGCCUAGGUCGGAUUAGCUAGUUGGUGGGGUAAAGGCCUACCAAGGCGACGAUCCGUAACUGGUCUGAGAGGAUGAUCAGUCACACUGGAACUGAGACACGGUCCAGAGUCCUACGGGAGGCAGCAGUGGGGAAUGUUGGACAAUGGGCGAAAGCCUGAUCCAGCCAUGGCGCGUGUGUGAAGAAGGUCUUCGGAUUGUAAAGCACUUUAAGUUGGGAGGAAGGGCAGUAAGUUAAUACCUUGCUGUUUUGACGUCACCAGCAGAAUAAGCACCGGCUAACUUCGUG
rnacentral:rRNA from 1 species